AUUGAACGCUGGCGGCAGGCCUAACACAUGCAAGUCGAGCGAGCGGCGGACGGGUGAGUAAUGUCUGGGAAACUGCCUGAUGGAGGGGGAUAACUACUGGAAACGGUAGCUAAUACCGCAUACCAUCAGAUGUGCCCAGAUGGGAUUAGCUAGUCGUGGGGGUAACGGCUGACCUAGGCGACGAUCCCUAGCUGGUCUGAGAGGAUGACCAGCCAACCUGGAACGUGGACACGGUCCAGACUCCAACGGGAGGCAGCAGUGGGGAAUAUUGCAAAAUGGGCGAAAGCCUGAUGCAGACAUGCCGCGGGGGUGAAGAAGGCCUUCGGGUUGUAAAGCACGUUCAGCGGGGAGGCGUUACCCGCAGAGGAAGCACCGGCUAACUCCGUGCCAGCCGCCGCGGUAAUUC
rnacentral:rRNA from 1 species